GACUUGGUACUUUAAAUUAAAAGGUCUGAUUUGCAUUUAGAUAAUAAGCUUUUAAGCUUUCAGGUCA
rnacentral:tRNA from 1 species